rnacentral:rRNA from 1 species
GAUGAACGCUGGCGGCGUGCCUAAUACAUGCAAGUCGAGCGAACGGACGAGAAGCUUGCUUUUCUGAUGUUAGCGGCGGACGGGUGAGUAACACGUGGAUAACCUACCUAUAAGACUGGGAUAACUUCGGGAAACCGGAGCUAAUACCGGAUAAUAUUUUGAACCGCAUGGUUCAAAAGUGAAAGACGGUCUUGCUGUCACUUAUAGAUGGAUCCGCGCUGCAUUAGCUAGUUGGUAAGGUAACGGCUUACCAAGGCAACGAUGCAUAGCCGACCUGAGAGGGUGAGCGGCCACACUGGAACUGGGACACGGUCCAGACUCCUACGGGAGGCAGCAGUAGGGAAUCUUCCGCAAUGGGCGGAAGCCUGACGGAGCAACGCCGCGUGAGUGAUGAAGGUCUUCGGAUCGUAAAACUCUGUUAUUAGGGAAGAACAUAUGUGUAAGUAACUGUGCACAUCUUGACGGUACCUAAUCAGAAAGCCACGGCUAACUACGUG